AUGAACAUUGUGAAAAUGACUCUACUACCCAAAGCAAUCUACAGAUUCAAUGUAAUCCCUAUUAAACUACCAAUGGCAUUUUUCACAGAAGUAGAAGUAAAAAUUUCACAAUUUGUAUGGAAACACAAAAGACCCUGAAUAAACAAAGCAAUCUUGUGAAAGUAAAACAGAGCUAGAUAAAUCAGGCUCCUGGACUUCAGACUAUACUACAAAGCUACAGUCAUGAAAAGAGUAUGGUACUGCCACAAAAACAGAAAUAUACAUCAAUGGAACUGGAUAGAAAGCCCAGAGAUAGACCCACACACAUACGGUCACCUUGUCUUUGAUAAAGAAGGCACGGACAUACAAUGGAUAAAAGACAGCCUCUUCAAUAAGUGGUGCUGUGGGCUUCCCUGGUGGCACAGUGGUUGAGAAUCUGUCUGCCAAUGCAGGGGACACAGGUUUGAGCCCUGGUCUGGGAAGAUCCCACAUGCCAUGGAGCAACUGGGCCUGUGAGCCACAACUACUGAGCCUACGCGUCUGGAGCCUGUGCUCUGCAACAAGAGAGGCCACGACAGUGAGAGGCCUGCACACCACAAUGAAGAGUGGGCCCCGCUCGCCACAACUAGAGAAAGCCCUCGCACAGAAAUGAAGACCCAACACAGCCAAAAAAUAUAUAAAUUAAUUAUUUUUAAAAAAAGUGUUGCUGAGAAAACUGGACAGCUACGUGUAAAAGAAUGAAAUUAGAACACUCCCUAACACCAUACACAAAAAUAAACUCAAAAUGGAUUAAAGACCUAAAUGUAAGGCCAGACAGUAUAAAACUCUUAGAGGAAAACAUUGGCAGAACACUCUAUGACAUAAAUCAGAGCAAGAUCCUUUUUGACCCGGCUCCUAGAGAAAUCAAAAUAAAUACAAAAAUAAACAAAUGGGACCUAAUGAAACUUAAAAGCUUUUGUGCAGCAAAGGAAACCACAAAUUAGACGAAAAGACAACCUUCAGAAUGGGAGAAAAUAUUUACAAAUGAAGCAACUGAAAAAGUAUUAAUCUCCAAAAUAUAAAAGCAGCUCAUGCAACUCAGUAUCAAGAAAACAAACAACCCAAUCCAAAACUGGACAGAAGACCCAUUAAAUACACAUUUCUCCAAAGAAUAUAUACAGAUUGCCAACAAACACAUGAAAGGGUGCUCAACAUCGCUAAUCAUUAGAGAAAUGCAAAUCAUAACUACAAUGAGGUAUCAUGUCACACUGGUCAGAAUGGCCAUCCUCCAAAAACCUACAAACUAUAAAUGCUGGAGAGGUUGUGGAGAAAAGGGAAUCCUCUUGCACUGUUGGUGGGAAUGUAAAUUGAUACAGCCACUAUGGAGAACAGUAUGGAGGUUCCUUAAAACACUAAAAAUAGAACUACCAUACAAGCCAUCAAUCCCACUACUGGGCAUAUACCCUGAGAAAACCAUAAUUCAAAAAGAGUCAUGUACCGUAAUGUUCAUUGCAGCACUAUUUACAAUAGCCAGGACAUGGAAGCAACCUAAGUGUCUAUUGAGAGAUAAAUGGAUAAAGAAGAUGUGGCACAUAUAUACAAUGGAAUAUUACUCCACCAUAAAUGGAAUCGAAAUUGAGUUAUUUGUAUUGAGGUGGAUGGAACAAAGUCUGUCAUACUGAGUGAGGUCCUCAUCCAUAUGGACUGAACAAAAGCACACAACCUAAAAGUUGUGAGUUAUGUUUUAUUUGGGCAACGUACUGAGGACUAUAGCCCAGGAGACAGCCUCUUAGAUAGCUCCGAGGAACUCUUCCAAAGAGAGGACAUGGGUUUGAGCCCUGGUCCAGGAAGAUCCCACGUGCUGCGGGGCAACUAAGUCCAUGUGCCACAACUACUGAGCCUGCACUCUACAGCCUGUGAGCCACAACUAUUGAGCCCACGUGCCACAACUACUGAAGCCCGUGUGCCUAGACCUCAUGCUCCACAACAAGAAAAGCUACUGCAGUGAGAAGCCCACUCACCACAGUGAAGAGUAGCCUCCUCUCACCGCAACUAGAGAAAGGCCAUGCUCAGCUACGAAGACCCAA